GAUGAACGCUGGCGGCGUGCCUAAUACAUGCAAGUCGAGCGAACAGAUGAGGAGCUUGCUCCUCUGACGUUAGCGGCGGACGGGUGAGUAACACGUGGAUAACCUACCUAUAAGACUGGGAUAACUUCGGGAAACCGGAGCUAAUACCGGAUAAUAUAUUGAACCGCAUGGUUCAAUAGUGAAAGACGGUUUUGCUGUCACUUAUAGAUGGAUCCGCGCCGCAUUAGCUAGUUGGUAAGGUAACGGCUUACCAAGGCAACGAUGCGUAGCCGACCUGAGAGGGUGAUCGGCCAGACUGGAACUGAGACACGGUCCAGACUCCUACGGGAGGCAGCAGUAGGGAAUCUUCCGCAAUGGGCGAAAGCCUGACGGAGCAACGCCGCGUGAGUGAUGAAGGUCUUCGGAUCGUAAAACUCUGUUAUUAGGGAAGAACAAAUGUGUAAGUAACUAUGCACGUCUUGACGGUACCUAAUCAGAAAGCCACGGCUAACUACGUG
rnacentral:rRNA from 1 species